rnacentral:rRNA from 1 species
GUCUAUGGCCAUACCACCCUGAACAAGCCCGAUUUCGUCUGAUCUUGGAAGCUAAGCAGGGUUGGACCUGGUUAGUACUUGGAUGGGAUACAGUAUUGUAAUUUGAUACAUGUAUACA